CCCUUCGGGGUGAGUACAGUGGCGAACGGGUGAGUAACACGUGGGCAAUCUGCCCCUCGCAGGGGGACAACCGGGGGAAACUCCGGCUAAUACCCCGUACGCUUGCGGAGCCGCAUGGUUCCGCAAGGAGAGGUAGCUUCGGCCAUCCGGCGAGGGAUGAGCCCGCGGUACAUUAGCUAGUUGGUGGGGUAACGGCCCACCAAGGCUACGAUGUAUAGCUGGUCUGAGAGGAUGAUCAGCCACACUGGGACUGAGACACGGCCCAGACUCCUACGGGAGGCAGCAGUCGGGAAUCUUGCGCAAUGGGCGAAAGCCUGACGCAGCAACACCGUGUGAGCGAUGAAGGCCUUCGGGUCGUAAAGCUCUGUUGUUGGGGACGAAGGGCGAGGGGUUAAUAGCCCCGAGCUUGACGGUACCCUUCGAGGAAGCCCCGGCUAACUACGUGCCAGCAGCCGCGGUAAUACGUAGGGGGCGAGCGUUGUCCGGAAUUAUUGGGCGUAAAGAGCGUGUAGGCGGUUCGGUAAGUCUGCUGUGAAAACCCAGGGCUCAACCCUGGGCGUGCAGUGGAUACUGCCGGGCUAGAGGGUGGUAGAGGCGAGUGGAAUUCCCAGUGUAGCGGUGAAAUGCGCAGAUAUUGGGAGGAACACCAGUAGCGAAGGCGGCUCGCUGGGCCAUACCUGACGCUGA
rnacentral:rRNA from 1 species